GACGAACGCUGGCGGCGUGCUUAACACAUGCAAGUCGAACGGAAAGGCCCUGCUUUUGUGGGGUGCUCGAGUGGCGAACGGGUGAGUAACACGUGAGUAACCUGCCCUUGACUUUGGGAUAACUUCAGGAAACUGGGGCUAAUACCGGAUAGGAGCUCCUGCUGCAUGGUGGGGGUUGGAAAGUUUCGGCGGUUGGGGAUGGACUCGCGGCUUAUCAGCUUGUUGGUGGGGUAGUGGCUUACCAAGGCUUUGACGGGUAGCCGGCCUGAGAGGGUGACCGGCCACAUUGGGACUGAGAUACGGCCCAGACUCCUACGGGAGGCAGCAGUGGGGAAUAUUGCACAAUGGGCGGAAGCCUGAUGCAGCAACGCCGCGUGCGGGAUGACGGCCUUCGGGUUGUAAACCGCUUUCGCCUGUGACGAAGCGUGAGUGACGGUAAUGGGUAAAGAAGCACCGGCUAACUACGUGCCAGCAGCCGCGGUGAUACGUAGGGUGCGAGCGUUGUCCGGAUUUAUUGGGCGUAAAGGGCUCGUAGGUGGUUGAUCGCGUCGGAAGUGUAAUCUUGGGGCUUAACCCUGAGCGUGCUUUCGAUACGGGUUGACUUGAGGAAGGUAGGGGAGAAUGGAAUUCCUGGUGGAGCGGUGGAAUGCGCAGAUAUCAGGAGGAACACCAGUGGCGAAGGCGGUUCUCUGGGCCUUUCCUGACGCUGAGGAGCGAAAGCGUGGGGAGCGAACAGGCUUAGAUACCCUGGUAGUCCACGCUGUAAACGGUGGGUACUAGGUGUGGGGUCCAUUCCACGGGUUCCGUGCCGUAGCUAACGCUUUAAGUACCCCGCCUGGGGAGUACGGCCGCAAGGCUAAAACUCAAAGGAAUUGACGGGGCCCCGCACAAGCGGCGGAGCAUGCGGAUUAAUUCGAUGCAACGCGUAGAACCUUACCUGGGUUUGACAUGGAUCGGGAGUGCUCAGAGAUGGGUGUGCCUCUUUUGGGGUCGGUUCACAGGUGGUGCAUGCCUGUCGUCAGCUCGUGUCGUGAGAUGUUGGGUUAAGUCCCGCAACGAGUGCAACCCUUGUUCACUGUUGCCAGCACGUUAUGGUGGGGACUCAGUGGAGACCGCCGGGGUCAACUCGGAGGAAGGUGGGGAUGACGUCAAGUCAUCAUGCCCCUUAUGUCCAGGGCUUCACGCAUGCUACAAUGGCUGGUACAGAGAGUGGCGAGCCUGUGAGGGUGAGCGAAUCUCGGAAAGCCGGUCUCAGUUCGGAUUGGGGUCUGCAACUCGACCUCAUGAAGUCGGAGUCGCUAGUAAUCGCAGAUCAGCAACGCUGCGGUGAAUACGUUCCCGGGGCU
rnacentral:rRNA from 1 species